AGGCCCCUAAUUCAUGGCUAAGUGGGAAAGCAGGUGGGACGACCAAAACAACCAGGAAGUUGGCUUAGAAGCAGCCAUCUUUUAAAGAUAGCGUAACAGCUCACUGGUCUAAUUAAGUUGUCCUGCGGCGAAGAUGUAACGGGGCUCAAGCCAUGAGCCGAAACUUCGGAUGCAUUUAAUGCAUGGUAGCGGAGCGUAGUGUGACAUAGUUCCAUGCGUCCUUCGUUUUAUAGCGGACUGCCCAGGCUUUCGAGCCUGUGUGGAGGCGCGUAAAAUACUGGACGCAAGGAGCUUUCUGUGAAGCCGGCCUGUGAGGGAUCCGGUGGAGAGAUCACUAGUGAGAAUGAUGACAUGAGUAACGACAAAGGGGGUGAGAGACCCCCUCGCCGAAAAUCCAAGGGUUCCUGCUUAAAGCUAAUCUGAGCAGGGUAAGCCGGCCCCUAAGCCGAGGGCGAAAGCCGUAGGCGAUGGGAACCAGGUUAAUAUUCCUGGGCCAGGAGGAAGUGACGGAUCACAAAGAUUGUUGGAUCAGGCGUAGUUGCCCCAGCAGUUCAGUGGUUCCUGGAAAUAGCCCUCCAUCAGACCGUACCCUAAACCGACACAGGUGGAUAGGUAGAGUAUACCAAGGCGCUUGAGAGAACUAUGUUGAAGGAACUCGGCAAAAUACCUCCGUAAGUUCGCGAGAAGGAGGCCCGGUUUCUAGGCAACUGGAAGCUGGGGGCACAAACCAGGGGGUGGCGACUGUUUACUAAAAACACAGGGCUCUGCGAAGUCGCAAGACGACGUAUAGGGUCUGACGCCUGCCCGGUGCCUGAAGGUUAAAAGGAGGGGUGAGAGCUCCGAAUUGAAGCCCAGGUAAACGGCGGCCGUAACUAUAACGGUCCUAAGGUAGCGAAAUUCCUUGUCGGGUAAGUUCCGACCUGCACGAAUGGCGUAACGACUUCCCCGCUGUCUCCAACAUAGACUCAGUGAAAUUGAAUUGCCUGUCAAGAUGCAGGCUUCCCGCGGUUAGACGGAAAGACCCCGUGCACCUUUACUACAACUUUACACUGAUAACAGGCACAACAUGUGCAGAAUAGGUGGUAGGCUUUGAAGCAGAAACGCCAGUUUUUGUGGAGCCUCCUUUGAGAUACCACCCUUGUUUUGCUUGUUAUCUAACUGCGGUCCGUUAUCCGGAUCCAGGACCCUGUAUGGUGGGUAGUUUGACUGGGGCGGUCGCCUCCUAAAGCGUAACGGAGGCGCGCGAAGGUUGGCUCAGAGCGGUCGGAAAUCGCUCGUUGAGUGCAAUGGCAGAAGCCAGCCUGACUGCGAGACUGACAAGUCGAGCAGAGUCGAAAGACGGCCAUAGUGAUCCGGUGGUCCCGAGUGGAAGGGCCAUCGCUCAACGGAUAAAAGGUACGCCGGGGAUAACAGGCUGAUGGUGCCCAAGAGUCCAUAUCGACGGCACCGUUUGGCACCUCGAUGUCGGCUCAUCUCAUCCUGGGGCUGGAGCAGGUCCCAAGGGUACGGCUGUUCGCCGUUUAAAGAGGUACGUGAGCUGGGUUUAGAACGUCGUGAGACAGUUCGGUCCCUAUCUGCCGUGGGUGUAGGAUACUUGAGAGGAGUUGCCCCUAGUACGAGAGGACCGGGGUGAACGAUCCACUGGUGGACCAGUUGUCGACUACGGCAGUGCUGGGUAGCUAUGAUCGGACAGGAUAACCGCUGAAAGCAUCUAAGCGGGAAGCCCCCCUCAAAACAAGGUAUCCCUGAGGACCGAGGUAGACCACCUCGUCGAUAGGCCAGAGGUGUAAGCGUGGUAACACGUUCAGCUGACUGGUACUAAUGGUCCGAUAGGCUUGAUUUG
rnacentral:rRNA from 1 species